UAAUAUGUUAGUCGUAGAUCCCCAUAUAAUUAUAGCAGAUCUACAUUUGACUAUUCAAAAUCUCACUUUUUUUAGUACGUGUUGAGGAUUUUAGAUAAAUAUUGAGAUCUUUUCAAUAAUAUAAG
rfam:Populus trichocarpa scaffold_11_contig_106, whole genome shotgun sequence.